rnacentral:lncRNA from 1 species
UUUCAUUGAUGUCAGCAAUAGCUUGUAAACCUCAGACGUGAUUUCACACCCAGAGAUUGCGCCACUGCCCAGAAUGAAAAACCAUUUCAAGGGAACUCCUGGCACCACUUUUAAGAGCACUUCGUGAAUGGCCACACCAUAGCCUUCGUGUGAAGGCCAGUGAAACAGCAGCUGAGCUAAUUCAUGAGGUAUUUGCCCUUCUGAAGUUGGAAUCUGUAAUGAUUUAAAACAUGAGACUGGUCCAGUGGGCUUGUUGCUCCAGACCUCAUGCCUUCUGGACCCAGACAUCUCUGCAAUCUCGGAACUGGAAUACACCACUUCUUGUCAAGGUACUAGCAAGUUGACUAUGAACUGCUGGGAGAUAAGACCAUCUGAUUUAUCCGUGUACAUACAGCAGCUAGCACAAAGCAGAUAAAUUGUCUCUUAAAGGGAAACAAGAAGUAUUUUUAUUAAUUAA